rnacentral:rRNA from 1 species
UAAAAAUUGCAGUUGAUACUGGAUAUCUUGAGUGCAGUUGAGGCAGGCGGAAUUCGUGGUGUAGCGGUGAAAUGCUUAGAUAUCACGAAGAACUCCGAUUGCGAAGGCAGCCUGCUAAGCUGCAACUGACAUUGAGGCUCGAAAGUGUGGGUAUCAAACAGGAUUAGAUACCCUGGUAGUCCACACGGUAAACGAUGAAUACUCGCUGUUUGCGAUAUACAGCAAGCGGCCAAGCGAAAGCGUUAAGUAUUCCACCUGGGGAGUACGCCGGCAACGGUGAAACUCAAAGGAAUUGACGGGGGCCCGCACAAGCGGAGGAACAUGUGGUUUAAUUCGAUGAUACGCGAGGAACCUUACCCGGGCUUAAAUUGCAGAUGAAUUACGGUGAAAGCCGUAAGCCGCAAGGCAUCUGUGAAGGUGCUGCAUGGUUGUCGUCAGCUCGUGCCGUGAGGUGUCGGCUUAAGUGCCAUAACGAGCGCAACCCUUGUUGUCAGUUACUAACAGGUUUUGAUGAGGACUCUGACAAGACUGCCAUCGUAAGAUGUGAGGAAGGUGGGGAUGACGUCAAAUCAGCACGGCCCUUACGUCCGGGGCUACACACGUGUUACAAUGGGGGGUACAGAGGGCCGAUACCACGAGAGUGGAUGCCAAUCCCCAAAACCUCUCUCAGUUCGGACUGGAGUGUGCAACCCGACUCCACGAAGCUGGAUUUGUUAGUAAUCGAGCAUCAGCCACGGCGCGGUGAAUACGUUCCCGGGCCUUGUACACACCGCCCGUCAAGCCAUGGGAGCCGGGGGUACUUGAAGCGCGUAACCGCGAGGAGCGCCCUAGG